UUGUGAAUAUUCUCGCUGUUCUGAUUUUGUAAUAAUCAAAGCAGGCUAAGCAUUCACUAUAUUAACACCAUGCAUGUGUCCCCAGACCUAGUUCUUUCCUUAGGUCUGAUUUUAUCAAGGCUGGUGAUAAAU
ensembl:snoRNA SNORA72 Small nucleolar RNA SNORA72